rnacentral:rRNA from 1 species
UACGGAGGGUGCGAGCGUUGUCCGGAAUCACUGGGCGUAAAGGGCGCGUAGGCGGCGCGGAUAGUCGGCGGUGAAAGCCCGGAGCUCAACUCCGGGUCGGCCGUCGAUACUUCCGGGCUUGAGCACUGUAGAGGCAGAUGGAAUUCCGGGUGUAGCGGUGGAAUGCGUAGAGAUCCGGAAGAACACCGGUGGCGAAGGCGGUCUGCUGGGCAGUUGCUGACGCUGAUGCGCGACAGCGUGGGGGAGCAAACGA